ACCCAUUUAAGACUGCCAGUGGGAAAGGAUUUCUUCUAGAGAUCCCUUCUCUGGAGUUUUGCAGUGAGUCCAGUAUGCAGCUCUGCUCUGCAGUCCCUAAUCCAUCCAACCUGUGCAUAGAGCCAGGGCUGUCUCACCCCAGGAAGUCAACACUCCUCCCAGUUUAGCAUUACAUGAGCGCACUGUUAUUUAGUGUCUUUAUUGGUGUCGUGGAUGAAACGUUACUGGUUUGGAACAGAAGCCUGUGGAAUCCCAUGAACAGCACUGGGGCUGUGGAGACCCUCCUCCCCCCCAUCCAACAGUAUGUUUGGUUGUCUUGGGACGUUUGUAGUGUUACUAUGCCACUGCUCUGUGAUCUCAUUAUCCACCUCCCUCCUGGACCCCUUUAAACACCUGGACCUGGAGCCUAGAACCUCUUUUGGUCUUUGACCAGAGCCUUGACUGCCAGAGCCCUCUGACAGAAGGGAAUUCAAAUGCUGCUCCUUCCUGUGUGUGGUGAGAACUGUGUGGAGGGGGAUGUAUCCUCCUCCACUGAAGAAGUGUUGUUUGCAGGAGAGCAGCAGCAAGCUGGAGCCCAUGGAGAUUGACACCAAGGAGAGCAAUGUUGAUGUGGAGCCGAUGGAGGUGGAUCCAUCUCUGUCACAGCUGGGCAUCCACUAUAUGAUCAUGCUCUCCCGUCGACAUCGCCGCAUCUAUGAACGGUGCUCCAGGGGCUCUCACUUUUCAUAUGGGUGUUGAGGAGUCUCCAUCCACCCGAGAGCCUCCGCUGCUGCUCCCUGCCCCCCUUCCCUUCCUUCCACCUCUUCUUCUCUUCAGAGCUCAGGGAAGGGAAGGACUGGCACUGGCACCACGUCCUGAGCUGCUGCACCGGGACAAUGGGAGCGACCUCCCUGUGCCCUCAGAGUGAGCCCUGAGGAAGAGGGCCAAGCCAGGACCACCAACAACUGGAGGAUGGCGAAGGGCUCAGUGCUCCCUGCAAGGCAACAGUCGCAAAUGAAGGCUUGGCAGGCUCUGCUUGGAUAUUAGGAAAA